GCGCCGGUGGUGUAAAGGCGUAGAGCAUUCCCGCCCGGUCAGAGGGAGGUGUGGGUUCGAGUCCCGCCUGGCGCU
rnacentral:tRNA from 1 species